rnacentral:rRNA from 1 species
ACGGAAGGCAGCAGUGGGGAAUAUUGGGCAAUGGGCGGAAGCCUGACCCAGCAACGCCGCGUGAGGGAAGAAGGUUUUCGGAUUGUAAACCUCUGUCCUCAAGGACGAAGGAAGUGACGGUACCUGAGGAGGAAGCCCCGGCUAACUACGUGCCAGCAGCCGCGGUAAUACGUAGGGGGCGAGCGUUGUCCGGAAUGACUGGGCGUAAAGGGCGUGUAGGCGGUCGAAUAAGUUUGGAGUGAAAGUCCUGCUUUCAAGGUGGGAAUUGCUUUGGAUACUGUUUGACUUGAGUGCGGAAGAGGUAAGUGGAAUUCCCAGUGUAGCGGUGAAAUGCGUAGAGAUUGGGAGGAACACCAGUGGCGAAGGCGACUUACUGGGCCGUAACUGACGCUGAGGCGCGAAAGCGUGGGGAGCGAACAGGAUUAGAUACCCUGGUA